rnacentral:lncRNA from 1 species
CAAGUCGUCUGCAUGAUACUCCGACCAUGUUCGGUAAAACAGUUAUAAGCACGACUUAGAUAUAAACGUAAUAUUGGCUGAAAUGGAUUUACAUGGGGAGUGUAAGGUGUGGUGGCGAGCACGUCAAUUCAUACAUGUUACGACACGCCAGAACGGGCUUAUCACUGUGGCCGAUGUGUUACAUCGUGAUGACAUUAUAUGCACUAGUAGUAAUCAGCGAACGUGUUGCUUGUACUAUAAGUGAUUUCGAAAAAGAAAGUAGUGAAAAGAACCGAAAAUGUGUAUUUAAUAUGCAGUGUUAAAGUGAAGAUUUUUUGAAAAUUAAGUCAGGAAGUCAUCACUUCAGAGUCUUCGGGAUUGAACAGCAUGUCACGCGUAUCCACUUAUACAUAUGCAUGUAUAUCAUACUACAUGAAAUCAGUUGAACCGCUGAAGUUUUGGACAUCCGGCCAAGAAAUCAAAUUGUUGUCAAAAGCCUACGAAGUCCACUGUUAACAUCGCCUGAAAAAGGAAUCCGCAACACGUGAUAAACAUGAUGAUACAUGACACAUGAGAAAUUGGACAACAAAAAGAAAAAAGUUGAUUUGACAAAAAGAAACUCCAGUCAGAGAGAAGAAUUCGCCAGCUGGAAAGAGAAUAAAAACCAUCAAGAAGAACACCAUCGGCAGAGUCGUCAAUAAAAACGGCCAAGCUGGAUGGAACAGAAGAUGUUGAUCGAGAUAUUUAUUUCUGUGCCUGGAACUAAGGCCUCUUGUGGUGAGCACAAGAGUUCACGAAUAUGUGAUACUUACGGUUGAGAAGUUCCUGACGGUUAUGUUUAAACAUUCACCAGGUACUUCUUAUUAUCACAGAAAAUGUCCAAGUCGUGUCCUUCAAUUGUGGUUAUCAUACGAUCAUAACCCUCCAAAUUGGCAUUGAUAUUCUCCCCGCACGAAAGAGUGCACCACACUGUAAGCUAUUUUUUGUGUAACGGGAUGUGCUGGAAAUUGCUCGAUUUCGUUUUGGUGGCGAGUUUGCAAAUCGCACGAAUUUGUUUGAGGUCUGAUGAAAUUUAAUCGGUUUUAUACAGGUUCUGUUUUUUUUUUUUUUAAUGACAAAUGUACAUGUUUCUGUGAUUAUGAGCGUUUUUGCUGUUUCUGCGUAUAUAAUUACCGAAAUAAUUGAAAAAAAAAGUUUUUUUUAGAGAAUUCGCCAAUCCACCAGAAAAUUCAGGAGCUGUGUUUCCAAAUUUAACGUUCGGUAUCUAAUUAUUUACUGAUUCAUCUCGUUCUACAGGAUAAAUAAGAAGCAUUUGAAAAUAUUAUUUACAAUAUAUGGCCAUUUUAUACUGAUAUACUGAAUUAAAUGAGAACAAUUUGUAUCUUUGUACCUUUUUUAUUAUUAAAUAUAAUAACAAUAUGUAAAAUAACUAUGGGCGAUUUCCAAAAAAUCUAAAAACAAAAUUGUAUGAUGUGGUUGCAACCCUGCAUUCCAUAAAUUUGCCCUGCAACAAUGCUUUGCAAACUCUGACAUUUUGGGACGCUUUUCGGGCAAAUAAGUUGAUUAUCGGUGAAAGGCUAAAAUAUGAAACAGAUCAUGAAAAUAAGUAAUACAAUGUUUAAAAAUAGAAAUUAGCGCAAGAAACUUAUCCUCCCACUUCGACCAUUGUUGUUAAGAAUUUAUGAUAACAUAAAGCAUCACAAACCUUAGAGAUGCAUUUUGGAACAUGAUACAUUGCCAAAGUUUGCACAGUUGCAUUUAAGAGUGCGUGACAUUGUAUGGUUGCUUCGCAACUGACGUUUUGGAACUCAAUCUAAGCUGUAAUAACCAAAGUUCAUAAAAUUUAUAACAUUUUCGUCUCUGUAUUUUACGCUUUCUUCUAAAAGUAGGCGUUCACUGUAUACAUUUUAGCAAAAUAAAAUAUAAAUUUUUCAUUGUCAAAUCACCAGAUCGCGUGCUUGUACCCGCGACCGGCAUAAAUAUCUCGAUUUCGAUUUCUGGCACUGUGAUGUCGUUGCGGUUUGGUGUUCGAAAACGGAAACAGUACAGUGAAACUCAACACAUGGCAUCGCAUUUUCGAUGACAAUUUCAUGCGGAAACGAUUUGCAGCACAUGCGCGACAGGCUUGAACAAAUCUAACGGUUCAUGCUACACUUUAAUCGCAAAAAAUAGUCUCAUAAUUAUGAUAUUUUAGCUCAAAUUAAUGUUUUCAAAGAAUUAAUGUCCAUUUUGACAAUUUCUGCUUUAAGGCGAAUUUAAUGAGUGAAGAUACCUUGAAUCUACUGCUCAGAGACAAUGAAAAUUACUGUUAUAAUUGAUUUGUUGCAAUAACCAAUGAACAUACAUACAUACAUAUGAAUUGACUAUUGACAUAAACAUUGACUUUUUGCUCAGCGCACGAAAAAUGCUUGCUUCACUGUAAACAAUUUUUAGUCGAUUUCUUACGAUCGCGAUUAAAUUUCUUUUGUGACCUUUUGAUUUCAUGUUGAAUAUAACUGGAUAUUUUUGUACAGUUUGCACGAAUCGUACAUUAAACUUCUGAUCCAAUAGACCAUCCAAUACGAGGCACUCAUCCAAAUAGCAAUACACAAUGGGUGAAUCGAAAGCAACGUAAACAUUCAACUACUCAAAACAAACUGGUUUGGCUUUGCAUUUCAAUCGCCUUGUACAAGUCUGUUGGUAAUGUAGAGCGCAAUAGCCACACGAUCAUACAUAUGUACAUAUACACACAUAUAUUUUAAUGUUCGUUUGAAUUUAAGAGAAGACAAUUUGUUGAAUUGCAUUUUUAAUUCCAGAGAGUACUG